CCUACGGGAGGCAGCAGUGGGGAAUAUUGGUCAAUGGGCGCAAGCCUGACCCAGCAACGCCGCGUGAAGGAAGACGGUUCUAGGAUUGUUAACCUCCGUUUUUAGUGAAGAAUAAUGACGGUAGCUAAGGAGCACGCCACGGCUAACUACGUGCCAGCAGCCGAGGUAAUACGUAGGUGGCAAGCGUUGUCCGGAAUUACUGGGUGUAAAGGGAGUGAAGGCGGGAAGCCAAGUCAGCUGUGAAAACUCCGGGCUUAACUUGUAGACUGCAGUUGAACCUGGUUUUCUUGAGUGAAGUAGAGGUAGGCGGAAUGCCUGGUGUAGCGGUGAAAUGCUUAGAUAUUACGAGGAACACCGAUGGCGAAGGCGGCCUACUGGGCUUUAACUGACGCUGAGGCUCGAAAGUGUGGGGAGCAAACAGGAUUAGAUACCCGAGUAGUC
rnacentral:rRNA from 1 species